CUUCUUUCCAUUUGUACAGGACGUUCAGAAGAAUUUUGGGGACUCCUGUGCUCCUGAGUUUGGUCUACGUCAUUAAAAUAAUCCAUCAGUGGAGUUGGGGAAUCUGGAGUAUUCAUCCAGAACAACUAGAAGAUAGUUGCCAGAGGGAAAUGGACUGCAAAAAUCAACAGAGACAUUCUGCCAUGGACCUUCAGGGAACCAGACCUUUACUCUCAGCAGCUGUUUUGUUUUUGCUAAUCCCUGGUGGCCUUCAUGUGUGAGAUCAGGGACCUCUAAAGCCCUGAAAGUCAGCGGAGACCAGGACAACUAGAUGAGCCCCAGAUACCUUGUAAAGACCUUGUCUCAGACGACCACUGGGACAAGACCACAGGAAACAGAUGAUUCUUCUGCAC